UACAGAGGUCCCAAGCGUUGUUCGGAUUCACCGGGCGUAAAGGGUGCGUAGGUGGUCGGGUAAGUCUGAUGUGAAAUCUUCGAGCUCAACUCGAAAAUGGCAUUGGAUACUAUUCGGCUGGAGGGUUGGAAGGGGGACUGGAAUUCUCGGUGUAGCAGUGAAAUGCGUAGAUAUCGAGAGGAACACCGGUGGCGAAGGCGAGUCCCUGGACAAUUCCUGACACUGAGGCACGAAAGCUAGGGGAGCAAACAGG
rnacentral:rRNA from 1 species